UGGGGAAUAUUGGGCAAUGGGCGCAAGCCUGAUCCAGCCAUGCCGCGUGAGUGAUGAAGGCCUUAGGGUUGUAAAGCUCUUUCAGUAGGGAAGAUAAUGACGGUACUUACAGAAGAAGCCCCGGCUGACUUCGUGCCAGCAGCCGCGGUAAUACGAAGGGGGCUAGCGUUGUUCGGAUUUACUGGGCGUAAAGCGCACGUAGGCGGUUUGUUAAGUCAGGGGUGAAAUCCCGGAGCUCAACUCCGGAACUGCCUUAGAUACUGGCAAGUCAGAGUCCGGAAGAGAUAAGUGGAACUCCUAGUGUAGAGGUAGAAUUCGUAGAUAUUAGGAAGAACACCAGUGGCGAAGGCGGCUUACUGGUCCGGAACUGACGCUGAGGUGCGGAAGCGUGGGGAGCAAACAGGAUU
rnacentral:rRNA from 1 species